UGGAUCAAUGAUGACCAUGGGUGGCAUAUGAUUCGUGGAUCAUGACUACAUGUCUGGACGUCUGAGGUCCAC
ensembl:snoRNA